rnacentral:rRNA from 1 species
AGCAGCCGCGGUAAUUCCAGCUCCAAUAGCGUAUAUUAAAGUUGUUGCAGUUAAAAAGCUCGUAGUUGAAUUUCGGGAUCAAAUUGUUGGUCGUGCCUCGGUACGCACUGGUAUUAUUGGUUCCUACCUUCUGAAGGACCAUGAUGUCAUUAAUUUGGUGUCAUGGGGAAUCAGGACUGUUACUUUGAAAAAAUUAGAGUGUUUAAAGCAGGCUCGCGCUUGAAUACAUUAGCAUGGAAUAAUGAAAUAGGACGUUUGAUUCUAUUUUGUUGGUUUCUAGGAUCGACGUAAUGAUUAAUAGGGAUAGUUGGGGGCAUUAGUAUUCAAUUGUCAGAGGUGAAAUUCUUGGA